UAGCAAAGCUUUCCAGUGCUUGCAUUUGUGUUAGUUGUGUCAGUAUUUGUUCCUUGUUCAUUGAAAUCAUCUGUAAUUUGUAGAUCGCAAAGAAUGUGAAAAAAUAUUAUCAGAUGCUGCAGACUUUUUGACUACGGCCGUGCAGGAUGGAUACAGAGGCACACACUAAAGCAAAUUCUUAAGACCACCUCUUUCAGGAUGAAGGAUUCAGAAUUUGAGAACACUAAUCUGCCAGAAAAUAAAAGAGAAGGAACAGAAGCAGAAAAAACUUUUUCUCCAGUCUUCACCAGCAAACGUUUUCCUACAGCCAUCACCAGCUGAGCGUGCUGUGACAGAGCACGGUCUGGAUAGCACCGAGAGGCAUUUAGAGAAAAGAUUUGGACUGAAAGCCACAGGUAAAAUUGCUUGGCAACAAUUUUUAGAAAAUUUCCAGGAUCCUGGAAGCACCUUUGAAAACAGGCAGAUGAUUCCUAUGAGAAAAACACAUAAAGUAAAUCCAGCCAGAGGAGAUGAAGCUUUCUCCAGUGACACUGUUCUUCAGAAGCUGCACAGAUACAUCCAAGAUGCUUAUCCCCCUUUAAAGCAGGCAUUCCUUAUGCUUGAUGAACAAUGGAAUAUUCACAACCAGCUCUUCUAG
rnacentral:lncRNA from 1 species